rnacentral:rRNA from 1 species
CACGAAUUCAUGUGAGCUAAUUAUUUUUAAUAUAUAUGUAGCAUAAUAUAUGUGCGAAAGAUGGUUAGGGGUGAAAGGCCUUUCAAAAAUGAGGAUAUCUUGAAGUAAAUGAAAAAAAUUUAGUUUUAAGAUAAUUACAAAGUUAUAAGAUUUUGUAAUGAAUUUAAUCUCUAUUAGUGUAGCAUGUUGGUAUAAAAACCUACAUAGGAAAUUAAUAACAUACGGUUAGUAGACUUAUUAAAUUAGUUUACGAUAAUAUAACUUUUAAUGAUCAUAAUGUUAGUAUAAGUACCUAUAAGAUAUUAAUAGUGAACUCGGCAAUAAAGCUUUCAACUGUUUAUCAAAAACAUAGCCACAUGUUACAUAUGUGGUGUCUUCUGCUCAAUGAUACUUAAAUAGCCGCAGUACCCUGACUGUGCAAAGGUAGCGUAAUCAUUUGUCUUUUAAUUGGAGUCGUGUAUGAAUGAAUGCAUGGAGGCUUACUUUACCAUUAAUAUAAUUUGAAAUUACUUAAAAGGUGAAAAUACCUUUAUCAAAAUAAUAGACGAGAAGACCCUUGAAAUUUUUAAACACGUUUUGUUGGGGCAACAUAGUAGAUAAACCUACUUAAUGUACAUGCAAUUUCUUUGUUUGAUCAAAUUACUCUAGGGAUAACAGCAUAAUUCUUUGGAGUUUGUGACCUCGAUGUUGGAUUAGGGAACUAUAACUUAAAA